AUGUAGAAUUAUUGAAGGAGCCUCACUAGGAAGCUAUGUUAUAUAGACAAGGAAAAAGGAAAAAGUCGAAAAAGUAACACGCAUUUUAUGGUUGGUACUUGGUAGCCUUUAUUAGUGGCAUUGAGAUGCAUGCAUUGAAGGAAACUAUUAACCAAGUUAGCAAGUUUCUAGAUUUAAGAAUAUUGCCAUAAUUUAGUUGUAAUUUGUGAGAUUGAUGUAAAAAAGAUCAUUGAAUCUUGGAUUGUAAAUGACUCUACCCUUUAUGUUCAUCCAAUUCUAGCAAAUAAUAAUGGCGAUCGGUGUGAUUCAAAUGACCAUCGAUCUAUGCAGAAUUGAAUGAAACUGUGCUGCCAUUAAAAGUACACACCUUAAAUUGAAUCAGAUUCUCUUGAUUGGAGUAAAAUUUAAGGCACAUAGGGCCUCUACACCAUUCAAAGCUCACAGCAAGUCAAAAUACAGAUGCAAGCAAUUAAAUCAUAACCUAUAAUGUAAAAAACAAAAAAUACUAGUGGUAAUUAUAAAAAAAUCACGAGUUACAAAUUAAAUUAAAAUGUUUCAAGACAAGGUGAGAAUUUUAUGUAUUAAAAGUCAUGGAAAAGCAUAAGUUCUCUUUGCUUGCCAAUGGUUCCAGCCUUCACAUUUUUGAAGGUUAUAAGAUGAUCGUACGUACCAUGGUAUCAUCUUGCUGGGACAGAUACCAAAAAGGGGAACCAUUGAACCAAUAACUGGUAUUUAUUAUGCAGGAAAAAAAAAGGUGCUGCAAAGCUAUCACAGCCAUACCCAAAAUAUCACAUCCAAUUAGAAGUGAAUAAGGCAUGGUUUAUAAAGCUGUAGCUGGAUUCUCUAUUUUAAGCGUUUCCUUUAUAAACCAUGCUCUUAGAUUGAGGCAGAUGCCUAUAAACAUCUUCUGGAUAAUAAAUACUUUUACCUCACAUCACACUAUCAGUACCCAACUCCAAAACUAAAAUUGUUUUUAGUCAUUUGAAGCAGAUAAACAAGAGCAUUCAUACAAUUUGAGCAUUAAUAUGCAUUUUAGAAAACAAUACAGCAGAGCUGAGGAUACAAAAUUGUUAAAAACAGUCUUUCUGAGCUGUGUUUGUUACAGAGACUACUAUUGCAACUAUUCCUCAUUGUCUCUCAUUAGUACUCUUUACAGUUACAAAAAAAGGAAAAAGAAGAAAAGCAAGAAAGCA